rnacentral:lncRNA from 1 species
CCGUGGUGAGAUUAACAACCCAAGUAAAAUAUAUAAAGUAACUAUAUAUACACAGUAUAUUUAAUUCCCAGUUGAGUGUAAUGAAGGGAGAAUAAGCAACUCAUUAGCUACCAUUUCAAUGUGAACAAGAUUUUGGGUGAGGUGGGGUGGAGUGGAAUGGGUUGGGGAGUGGAGGUGGCAAGAUUGAUAUAAUCUACAAAGGAUCUCUUCAACACUUAUGUCUACGCCAUCCCUCAUCGAAUUCUAGAAGUACAGGAAUAUUAUGAAACACCACUAAAAAUGAAAAUUUGGAUUUUUUGAGCAAUUAUUAGACUGAGACAUGUAUAAUGCAAAUUUGGGACAUGCAAUCACAGAUACAUUUCCACCGGGUAAUCUAGAUGGCAUUGAAUAUUCCUUUCCAGGUC